rnacentral:rRNA from 1 species
CCCUGGUAGUCCACGCCGUAAACGAUGUCGACUUGGAGGUUGUUCCCUUGAGGAGUGGCUUCCGGAGCUAACGCGUUAAGUCGACCGCCUGGGGAGUACGGCCGCAAGGUUAAAACUCAAAUGAAUUGACGGGGGCCCGCACAAGCGGUGGAGCAUGUGGUUUAAUUCGAUGCAACGCGAAGAACCUUACCUACUCUUGACAUCCAGAGAACUUAGCAGAGAUGCUUUGGUGCCUUCGGGAACUCUGAGACAGGUGCUGCAUGGCUGUCGUCAGCUCGUGUUGUGAAAUGUUGGGUUAAGUCCCGCAACGAGCGCAACCCUUAUCCUUUGUUGCCAGCGAUUCGGUCGGGAACUCAAAGGAGACUGCCGGUGAUAAACCGGAGGAAGGUGGGGAUGACGUCAAGUCAUCAUGGCCCUUACGAGUAGGGCUACACACGUGCUACAAUGGCGCAUACAAAGAGAAGCGACCUCGCGAGAGCAAGCGGACCUCAUAAAGUGCGUCGUAGUCCGGAUCGGAGUCUGCAACUCGACUCCGUGAAGUCGGAAUCGCUAGUAAUCGUGGAUCAGAAUGCCACGGUGAAUACGUUCCCGGGCCUUGUACACACCGCCCGUCACACCAUGGAGUGGGUUGCAAAAGAAGUAGGUAGCUUAACCUUCGGGAGGGCGCUUACCACUUUGUGAUUCAUGACUGGGGUGAAGUCGUAACAAGGUAACC